AACGAACGCUGGCGGCAUGCCUAAUACAUGCCAGUCGAACGAGAUCUUCGGAUCUAGUGGCGCACGGGUGCGUAACGCGUGGGAAUCUGCCCUUGGGUUCGGAAUAACUUCUGGAAACGGAGGCUAAUACCGGAUGAUGACGUAAGUCCAAAGAUUUAUCGCCCAAGGAUGAGCCCGCGUAGGAUUAGGUAGUUGGUGAGGUAAAGGCUCACCAAGCCGACGAUCCUUAGCUGGUCUGAGAGGAUGAUCAGCCACACUGGGACUGAGACACGGCCCAGACUCCUACGGGAGGCAGCAGUAGGGAAUAUUGGACAAUGGGCGAAAGCCUGAUCCAGCAAUGCCGCGUGAGUGAUGAAGGCCUUAGGGUUGUAAAGCUCUUUUACCCGGGAUGAUAAUGACAGUACCGGGAGAAUAAGCGCCGGCUAACUCCGUG
rnacentral:rRNA from 1 species